GUCCAAGACAGCUCAAGGGGAAGAGUUGGAAAGAACUGCUGCAAAUGAUAGCAAAUCAGGAAGUUAAUGUGGGAGCCUGCCCAUUAGAAGCAGACAGCGGGAGAGAGGUCUCUGAAAGAAAUCAGUGAGUUGGUAAUCAAAUUAAUAAGUGAUUUUUUAGCAGUAGUGGAAAAGUUAUUGUAACUGUUCCAUAGCAGGCAACCUCAGCUGCUGGAAAUUUACCUCUUGUGUGGAGCAUAAGGAGAGUCUUUUCCCCACUUAAUCCUCAAUACAAAGUGUGAUGAGGCUUAUUCAGGACCUGGCAGAGGCAGCUCUCCGGACCAGCAGCCUCUUACUCGCCCUUCAGCAGCACUGACCCUGCAGCAGCCCCACAUCACCCACAGAGCAGUUAAAGGAAGCGUACAACCUGAGACCGCGGCGAGCAGAGCUCAAUAUCAGAGCUCGAGACACUGGUCAAUCAAUGAAACCAAGCUACUCAAGUGAAGGGCAGAGCGUGUGCAGCUGCUGUGCCUGGGCUCCAGUUGGGCAUCCUGUCUGCUGAUGGACAGCUGGGAGUUUCCUCACCUCUGAAGUCUCACACUGACUGCCUCCAAGCUUUCCUAAAACACCUCACACUCCCCCAGCGCAGUCUCUGAACCUCCUGACUCUGGCAGUAUUUGUCCUUCCAGGAACACAUUAUGCCUCAGAGCUGUGAUGCACAGAGCUCCCAAGGACGUAAGGAGAGCCCAUAAGCACUGAGACAAACCCAGAACUUGUCAUUUUGCUCCAUUUUCUCAUCUAGAAAAUAUAGAUGUUAGAUAAAGUUGCGCUGGGCUCCUGUAACCUUCUCAUUGACAGGACAUCCCACUGCAGGAAUCCAUCCAUAGAAGAGCUCCUGAGCGAGUACAUGCCCUAUCUCACACUGCCGUGGUGAUUUAAAGACACUUCUGUGCCCACUCCCACUCCUGCUGCCCCUCUUGGAGGAUGGAUAAGCUGCACAUCUGCCCAGCGGUGAACAGGUUCUGCAGCCUUUGCCUGAUGAUGAGCUGCCUGUGCCAGCUUCAAUUAGCUGCAAGGAGCCAGAGGUAUCGGAACUGCUUUACUUGUGCAGAGUAAAUCCUUGCUCUCUGACUUUCCCCAACCCUGGAAUUUAUUCCUCGCUUGGAUCUGACCACAUCUGUGGGUCGGGGAGGCAGACACAGGGGAGCGAGGAGGAGUUUUGCAGCCUGCAGCCUCAGGGAGAAGGAGCUGCAGCUCAGCCUUUCACACUGACCCAUUUUUCCAAAAUGUUUAUGUCUGAUCACCCGCUGCUGUUUACCUCCUGGCCUGCCCUCUUGGCUCACCCUGAGCUCCUUAUCAGCCAGCCUCCGCUAUAUAGGAAAACAAAAUGCUAAGAGUCAGAAAUUGGAGAAAACCCUUUUUGCCAGGCACCGAAGCAUCUGCUAAAGGAGCUGUGCAGAAUUAAUGGUGUGGGCAGGAAGGGCUGCGAGUGGAGACCAGCAGGUGCCCCGGUAGCAGCACACAGACAUAUAAAAGGCAGGGUGCCCUCACCCAGGCAGGAACAACUGCUCUCAGUUUUGGGUAGGAAAGGAUUUUCAGGGCCAGUUAUUAGCUCUGAGCGGUGCAUGCAGCUGAUCCAUCCACACUGGGUGCUUCCACACUGCCUGUCUGCAGCUACUGCAGCAGGAACACUCCGAGCAGGAGGCAGAAAGCCAGUUAGGGCUCUCCACAGAGACUUCUUUCUUAUAGCCCUCCGUAUAUGUAUUUUCUAAUGGAUCAGAAGCACAUAACGCUUCUUUGCUUCAUUUUCAGAGCGGUAGGAGAUGAAUCCAACUUCGUGCUCUCCCCUCUGACCUGCCUCAUUACUGAAAGAAAGGGGCAGCCCAAAGCACGUCGAUGCAGAAAAGACCCGUUGGGUCCUGAGAUCCAUCAUGCUGCUGGAGGAAGGGUACGGCCUCUCCGAGGUCACAGCUGAGAUCAGCAAGUUUGGCUGUUUAAACAGUUUUGCAAGAAAAGAUGCUUUUGCUGUGGGAUUUGGGGUUGCUUUGGUCGGUUCCGCUUUUUCCCUGCGUCUGAUCCAGGCUGCCUGGAGGUAACCACGGUUUUGCCAAUGAUUUCACUGUAAUGGGAAUUUGAUCUUGAAGUACGCUGAGUUCACAGGCCUUAUAAACUAUAAUAUUUUGCACAUGUCUGCUCUCAAUCCGGACAGCCAGAGGGCUGAAGGUACAUUUCCUCACUGCAAACAGCAUGAAAUAGGUUUUGACUUAAAGGAGAGCCACAUUGCUGACAUUCGUGUCGUACCUUAGGGAGGGAAUGGAAGGAGAAUCGUGACCACCCACACUGUAUUGACUUUACUCCUUCUUUAACUAACUGGCAAACUUCUGAAAAUGUGCACAGUAGCCACUUUCUGAGAUACGAAAGCAAGCUCUAAAUUACGAUCCUCAAAUCACCAAUUCAGAGCCCUUAGAUAUAUAUAUUUUUCUCUGUUUCUUCCACUAUAAUUUCCGGGCUGGAGCUCCGGCCAUUAAUAGCAGCUACAUCAUUACGCUGCCGUGACACUCCGGCAGCACCCUCAUCCAUUUCAGUCAUUGAUCCGCUAAUGCGCGCCGGAUGAGAAAGGAAAAGGUCCCACUCAUUCAUCCUGCCCUCCCUCCUCCUCCUCUCACCAGGUGGCGACCACUCACCCUGUGCUUUAAAUCCCGAUCGGAUUUCAGAUGCUCAGUGUUAAUUGCCUCAGUACAAGGACUGACCCCGGACAGCAAAACUAAAAUUAAGGUAACAGGGCCAUAGAAGUGGGUGAGAUGCUACAGAAGUGGCUCUGCAGCUGCUUCCCGUGGUUACAGUCUGCGGGCAGCAUUGGAAAUGGCAAAUGAGAGCUGGAGCUGUGAAGCACGCAUGGGGUAUGAAGGUGAGCCAGGAAAAGAGGAGAAGAAAGGCUAAAGAAAUGAGGCAAUAAGGAGAUCAAAGGUGCAGCGACAUGCUGCUGCAGGAGUGGCACCUUAAGUAGCAUCAACUGCACAAGUAACACUGUAAUUCCUGCUGUGUGUGAGACCAGACAACUCCUUCCUAUGGGCAACCUGUUCUAGCAGGGGCAUCCAGCCCACAGCAGGGGCUGGAACUGGGUGAUGUGUAAGGUCCCUUCCAACCCAAGCCAUUCUGUGAUCCUGUGACCUACAGUAAACCCACGCAGCAGCUCUGUGUUAUGAGCCACAAAGAUACUGAGCUGAAAGAUAUAUACUGAGCUGAAAGAUAUGUUGGUGAUGCUUGUAGCUCCUUGGGAUCUUCUAACCCAGCAACUGGAUUCUUCUAAUCUAUCCAAGCAGCCUAUGGGCUGAUUCCUCCUUUCCCCAUCCACGUGUUGCUUGGUACAUCUGUUCUUUUGUUCUAUUUUUCCUUAUCCUUAUAUUGCUCAUUUUGGGGAUCAAAGGAUAAAGGAAAUAAAAAUCCUGUUAGUUCUCAAAGGUCCCCACAGCAGUAGAUAAUUGGUUUCCAAUCAAGCCCAGCCUGCCUUUGAUCUCCAGCUUGCACAGAACACUGUGCUCAGCCACAAGCAUGUGUUCAGUAACACUACCAGGAGAUCUAAUUUUGAACAUCCGCAAUUACCUGCGCAGCGGCACUUAUAACAGAUGAGAAGCGCUGAUAACAAUGCUCUGUUUUUGUGCCAUCUCACGUUAAUGAGACAGCACACCUUUCUAAGAGGGGCUGUCAGUAACACUGGCAUAGCGUGGGGCCGUGCAUCCAUCCUCCUCCUCCCCCAUUCUCCAUAGGGAAGCCAAAGAGUAAUGCGCUGCCUGUUCCCACCAUGAAAUGCUCUUGUUGUUGUUUAUCUUUCAGCAAAAGCAAGUCACAGUGCCCAGCAGCAAUGGAUGGGAGUGUUUUAAAGCCAGCUUUGCCACCAGCAGAACUGCAGUAUCAAACAAUGUGCCCUCAUUUGCCUUAGCAAGCAGCCCAUCUGUGCUGUUGCUUCUAACCUCCAUGCCCUUCCCCAGCGCACUGAGUACCCCUCUCUUCCUGCUCCCCCCCCAACCUGACCCCACUAAGACAUACCAGCCGUUUUGUUGCCAUCUCAAGGCAUAAGAAGUGCAGCCUGGGGAUGCAGAGUGCAGGAGACACACAGGGAUGUUCUCAGGCAUACCCAAACCGGCAGCUGACUGUUUCUUUAAAUAAACAGUAUACAUUCAUUUAGCUGAAAAUAGGUCUCCUGUCAAGCUCCUACCCUAGAGCAACUACCAGUUGCACUGUCAAAAUCGCUCUCUGUGGCUCUGAAUAGGUUUCUUAAUGAAAGAGCAACAUUAGCUCUUUAGAACAUUUUGUCCCUGAAGGAUGCAGCAGCAGCAGCAGCCGCUGAAUGAUUUCUGGCUCAGAGAUGCUUACAAAUGGGAGGAAACAUAAUGGUUUAAAAACACGAGUAUCAGCUCCCUGGAACUGCUUUGGAGCAGCGAUUUGGGAAGCCAGGAGAAAAAUGGAUGGUUCAGAGCGGUACCCGCUGAUGGUCGCUGCUUCCACAAGCAUGCUGAGCCCCAGGGAAUAACUGCAUGUGGGCACAGUGUCACCCAACCAAGCGGAGAUGGGAAGGAUUUGGGACAGCACCCAAAGAAAGACACGUUCUGACAAAAUGAAAUUUUAAUGCCCACUGGUUGCUGGAUUAAAUAAUGAUGAGCACCCGAAUGAAACGCUCUGUUUCUAUUCCUGCAGUCUGUUCAUAGUGACUGUCAGGGCGGUCACUUUUUAUUCUGGUUAAACUUGGGGCACUCACAGAGUGGGGUUGGACCUGAGCAGAGAGGGCUGGACUCAAAGCAAUGAAACAGAGCCUUUGUGGUGCAGCACGAGGCAGCACUCACGUGUCCUCUUCUUCCUUUAAGGGCUGAAGUCUCUGAACAGGGGCACGGGCACCACUUAUACAUUGAGAGAGAUUUACACACAGCCUUGUGCAUCUCCCAGUCUCACUUUCACACUGAUUUAAAUGUCAUUCUUUGGCAGGAAAACCCCACGAGGAGCUCUUGCACAGCAUGGUGGGUAUCAGGGUCAAGAACAAU
ensembl:lncRNA